rnacentral:rRNA from 1 species
AGUGAACGCUGGCGGUAGGCCUAACACAUGCAAGUCGAACGGCAGCACAGGAGAGCUUGCUCUCUGGGUGGCGAGUGGCGGACGGGUGAGGAAUACAUCGGAAUCUACUUUUUCGUGGGGGAUAACGUAGGGAAACUUACGCUAAUACCGCAUACGACCUACGGGUGAAAGCAGGGGAUCUUCGGACCUUGCGCGAUUGAAUGAGCCGAUGUCGGAUUAGCUAGUUGGCGGGGUAAAGGCCCACCAAGGCGACGAUCCGUAGCUGGUCUGAGAGGAUGAUCAGCCACACUGAGACUGAGACACGGUCCAGACUCCUACGGGAGGCAGCAGUGGGGAAUAUUGGACAAUGGGCGCAAGCCUGAUCCAGCCAUACCGCGUGGGUGAAGAAGGCCUUCGGGUUGUAAAGCCCUUUUGUUGGGAAAGAAAUCCAGCUGGUUAAUACCCGGUUGGGAUGACGGUACCCAAAGAAUAAGCACCGGCUAACUUCGUGCCAGCCGCCGCAGUAA